rnacentral:rRNA from 1 species
AUGAUGAUAGUAAGAAGGUUGGGGGAGCUCAGCUCAGCUCUCCUCGGACCGUGCCGUGCUCGGCUCAACCACGGUUCACGGCGGGCUGAGGAACAGCGCCGGAUCGGUGUCGGCGAACACGCCGGCCACCCAGUAGGACCCCAGGUCGCAGCCCGACGGCCACUCGAACGGGCUCGGGUCCGCCAGCUCCUUCCCGCCGGCCUCGUCCGCCACGCCGAGCCCGAGCGCCACCGACGGGUGAUCGGUGAAAGCCAGGCCCCCGUUUCUGUCAGCCGCGGGUGGCACGUCGGGCUCGCCGGCCGUGAAAGCGAAGCCCCCGUCUCCGUCCGCCGCGGGUGGCGCGUCAGGCUCGCCGGCCGUGAGAGUGAAGCACCCUUCCUUCGCGGGUGGCGCGUCGGGCUCGCCGGCUGUGAAAGCGAAACACCCGUCCGCCGUAGGGGCUGCGGCGGGAUCCUCAGCUGCUGUGACGUCCUCGGUGGCCGCGGCCUCCUUCGUCGUCGCGGCGACGGCGGCUGA